rnacentral:rRNA from 1 species
AACGAACGCUGGCGGCAUGCCUAACACAUGCAAGUCGAACGAGACCUUCGGGUCUAGUGGCGCACGGGUGCGUAACGCGUGGGAACCUGCCCUUAGGUUCGGAAUAACUCCCCGAAAGGGGUGCUAAUACCGGAUAAUGUCUUCGGACCAAAGAUUUAUCGCCUUUGGAUGGGCCCGCGUUGGAUUAGCUAGUUGGUAGGGUAAAAGCCUACCAAGGCGACGAUCCAUAGCUGGUCUGAGAGGAUGAUCAGCCACACUGGGACUGAGACACGGCCCAGACUCCUACGGGAGGCAGCAGUGGGGAAUAUUGGACAAUGGGCGAAGGCCUGAUCCAGCAAUGCCGCGUGAGUGAUGAAGGCCUUAGGGUUGUAAAGCUCUUUUACCCGGGAUGAUAAUGACAGUACCGGGAGAAUAAGCUCCGGCUAGCUCCGUG